UCGAACGACUCGGACUAUGGCGAGAAGUGGCAAACUGCUCAGUAACACGUAGCUAACCUACCCUCAGGACGGAGACAACCCCGGGAAACUGGGGUUAAUCCCCGAUAGGCGUGGAUUCCUGGAAUGGUGUCACGCCGAAACGUUAACACACCAUGUUUGUGUACACGCCUGAGGAUGGGGCUGCGGCCGAUCAGGCAGUUGGUGAGGUAACGGCUCACCAAACCUUUGACCGGUACGGGCCGUGAGAGCGGUAGCCCGGAGAUGGACACUGAGACAAGGGUCCAGGACCUACGGGUCGCAGCCGGUACGAAACCUCCACAAUGCACGAAAGUGCGAUGGGGUUACCUCGAGUGCCGCCUGAAGAAGGCGGCUUUUCCAUUGUGUAAUGAGCCGUGGGAAUAAGGGGGGGGCAAGACUGGUGUCAGCCGCCGCGGUAACACCAGCCCCCCGAGUGGUGGGGAUGUUUAUUUGGCCUAAAACGUCCGUAGCCAGCUAGGUAAAUCUCUCGUUAAAUCCAGCGUCCUAAGCGUUGGGCUGCGAGAGAGACUGCCAAGCUAGAGGGUGGGAGAGGUCAGCGGUAUUUCUGGGGUAGGGGCGAAAUCCAUUGAUCCCAGGAGGACCACCAGUGGCGAAGGCUGCUGACUAGAACACGCCUGACGGUGAGGGACGAAAGCUGGGGUAGCGAAUCGGAUUAGAUACCCGAGUAGUCCCAGCCGUAAACGAUGCAGGCUAGGUGUUG
rnacentral:rRNA from 1 species